rnacentral:rRNA from 1 species
UACGAAGGGGGCUAGCGUUGCUCGGAAUCACUGGGCGUAAAGCGCACGUAGGCGGAUUGUUAAGUCAGGGGUGAAAUCCUGGAGCUCAACUCCAGAACUGCCUUUGAUACUGGCGAUCUUGAGUCCGGGAGAGGUGAGUGGAACUGCGAGUGUAGAGGUGAAAUUCGUAGAUAUUCGCAAGAACACCAGUGGCGAAGGCGGCUCACUGGCCCGGUACUGACGCUGAG